AGAACGAACGCUGGCGGCACGCCUAACACAUGCAAGUCGAGCGCCCAGCAAUGGGAGCGGCGGACGGGUGAGUAACACGUGGGAACAUGCCUUUCGGUACGGAACAACUGCGGGAAACUGCAGCUAAUGCCGUAUACGCCCUUACGGGGAAAGAUUUAUCGCCGAAAGAUUGGCCCGCGUCUGAUUGGCUAGUUGGUGAGGUAACGGCUCACCAAGGCUUCGAUCAGUAGCUGGUUUGAGAGAACGACCAGCCACAUUGGGACUGAGACACGGCCCAAACUCCUACGGGAGGCAGCAGUGGGGAAUCUUGGACAAUGGGGGAAACCCUGAUCCAGCGAUGCCGCGUGAGUGAUGAAGGCCUUCGGGUUGUAAAACUCUUUCGACGGGGACGAUAAUGACGGUACCCGUAGAAGAAGCUCCGGCUAACUUCGUGCCAGCAGCCGC
rnacentral:rRNA from 1 species